rnacentral:lncRNA from 1 species
UUGAAUGUCUUGCACCAAGGCAUCCAGCUACCAAGGCAAGAUCUCAAACACAGAACAUCUAUCUUAGAACACCAGUGUUUCCCUUCAUAGUCCACCCUUCCUACAAUAUUCUCGUAACAACAGAAAUCUCCCGUUAGUUUAUAGAGCAUGCAAUUUGCGCUCAAACUGAAAUAAGAACAACAUUUUGUCAGUUUUGUCAGUAACAUUUGGUUAAUUCGGCACCAACAAAAUCUCCUAUAUGAUUUGGCGAUUAAAGAAUAGUAACAAAUGAUAUAAAAUAACCAGUGACAUCAACUCUAACUACACAAUAUCCAGGGAAACAACAUGAAUCUCCAAUUGGUUCACAAAGUAUGCAACUUUUCUCUCAACUGAAAUGAGAACAACAUUUUGUCAGUGAUAUUUAGUUAAUGGAGCACCAACAAAUCUCCUAUUUCAUUUAGAAGAAUAAGAAUAAAUAAAGGAUAUAAAAUAACCAGUGGCACAUUUAACUCUAACUACAACUUGGCAAAGAAAUUACAUUAGUUGAUUAAUGAUUAUCUGUAGCUAAAUCCUAUAUUCAAUACACAAGACGAAGGAAUUCAUAUAUUAGAAAUCAUAUGCACACCAGUCAAUCAAUUAAACAGCAAGAAUCACAAAUAAAAAGAAAUUACAUUGGCAGUUCAUAUCAGUCUCCUACCUUGAAAGUGAUACCUUGAAAUCAUAUGCACACCAGUCAAUCAAUUAAACAGUAGGAAAUGCGGCUUGCCGCACCCGGCAGCGCCGCUGCCGGGUACAAUUAUAUCCAAUUGGGUAAUACAGUCAUAGGAGCAUUUUUUUUACAGAACAGUCAUAGGAGCAUUGUAAAUAUAAAAAAAAGCAAUGGUAUUAGUUCAGUACAGUGUCAUACUGCAAAUUAUUAUCUGUUCAUAAGAUAUGAAAUUUAAGAUGGGUUUUAGACUGCAUAACAUAUUGUAUAGAAUAUAUUGACAAAUAUGAUGAACCGUUGCGACAUAAGCAUCCUUAGAAAGAGAAUUCUGAUUUAUAACAUUGGUACUCACAUGAAAAUUUAUCUAAAAAUGAGCAGAUAGUCGAAGAAGAAGAACAGUACAAAGGAUACAUUGAGCUUAUAGAAGCAUAGCAAAGCAGGCUAUGUAGACAUAACUCGACAUCAUCGAUAUAAUAGUUCAUAGUUCCUAGAUUCAGAUAUGGACUGGAUAGUUCUCCUUAUAGACAUCCCAUCUGGGUAGCCAAGGAUGACCAAGUUCAGUACAGGCCAUUUUGUCAAAGCAAAGCAAGCAGGGUACAUUUAGUCAAUAGAGCAGAUCGACGAUGGAUCUCAUUAAGUAGGUAACAAUAGUUUAGCUAUUACAAGCAAGACAGAGCUCCUCACAUGCCCCUCUUGUUAUUUAUCAAUGAUGCUUAAUUAGUACUGGAUCAUCUCUGUCUGACCUAAGCCGCGACCAAGCCAUAUCAUUGCAACCCGUAGAAAAAGGAAGCUACAACUGUGUGAACCAAAUAUAAAUGGGGACAAUCCUGCUCUCCAUCAUGCUAAAUGGGGACUUCUCUAGCACUCACGCUUACUAUUGGUCACGCUUGUGUAUUCAGAUGCCACUCAAGAUAUAACCACCAAACGAAUUCAUUUGCAUGUGUGGGUGGGUACAUGAUGGAUGGACAUGCAUCCAGAGAAAAGAAAGGGGCUUGAAAAAAAGAAAUCACAACUUUUUACAUGCAAGAGUAGUAAGCACUAAUCGCAUAUCCUUUGUUGUAUUUCAAGCCUAAUAGGAACAGGUGAUAGACGAUCGACCUUGUGUAUCAAACAAACAUGUGAUAGAAAUCACAACUUGUAGUGCUGAAGAUCCUGCGCUGCCUGCGACGUGCACGGUCGCCAUGGCCGCGAGCUAGGGUUCCGGGCGCGAGGAGGGAGGGACGGACGGACAACAGCUCGAUUGCCAUGGUGUUUCAUGAUAAGAAGGUCCAUCGGCUGAGUUACCUGCAAGCACAAGCACAUAAUUUGCUGCAUCACACACCAAGCUAUUUUGUAUAGCUGAAGACGGGUUUAUACAAAAUCAUGAAACUGGACCAAUAAAAAAAUUAUAUUUGCGGG